rnacentral:tRNA from 1 species
GGGGCCUUAGCUCAGCUGGGAGAGCGCCUGCUUUGCACGCAGGAGGUCAGCGGUUCGAACCAGCUAGGCUCCA